ensembl:lncRNA
AUCAUCACCAUCACCUGGCCAGAAAUGCACUUCACCUGCAGGGAAAUAGCUUUCUCUCACAAUUGCUGAAUGCUGAGAGUCUUCGCUGGAAGCAGUUGUGCCAGCAAAAAUCUCAUCAGAUUGUUUAGCCCGUAAGAACAGAGGAAGAACCUACCCUUGAGACUGAGUUAGACCUCCAGAAACAGAGCCCCAUUUAACAAUUCCUCAUUUGUCCCUGCCCCAGUGAAUUGAUGAGGCUGUGGGUUGUGCUCCAUACGUGUAGGAGAAGCGAAGGGCCUGGGAACCAGGCACCGGGAAGCUGGCAAUCCAUGCAGGAGGUUCCAAGGAGGCUCCCAGGGGCCAGCUCCCGAGCAUGAGUCACACCACCAAGCCAGACCCAGGGGUCAUCUGGGCUGGGCAAGAGGUGAAGGCAAGAGCAUGGCCCCUGUGAAUGAAGAGCUGGACCAAGACUGCUGCGGUGGAGGGGAAACAGAAGGCAGCAAGAGAUAGAUGGACCUGGGACAGAGGGCCUGAGGCCCACCCACCCUCCCAACCCCCAAGUCUGGGCCAGGGGUCCCCCCUCUGGACUCCCACAGCACGCUCUAUCAUAUGUCUCUCCUGGCACCAGUGUCACGGGUGAACUUGUCUGUCUCCUGGAUUAUGCUGUGAACUCGGGGAAACCGCUAGAAAUAUGCUUUUGUUUUUGUUUCUCAGUGUCAUCCCAUCUAUGCAGUAACUGGCAUACAGCAGGCACUCAAUAAACAGUCCAUGCACAAAUGGAUGGGGAGCAUGGAGAGAGAGAAUCAGGGAGGCAACUGCGCUGUCAAGUGCAGGCCCAUGGGCAGCGAUGGUGCACCCCAGAUGGACGGAUGGACAGCUGUGUCUGAGGAGGACAGCAAUGAAGAAGGGAGGUGAGAUGGCAGGACCAGCAGACAAUGCAGCCUUAUGAUUCAAACAGAAGAAACACUCAUCUUGAUUCCUGUGUGCUGUUUGCCAGGAGAGUUAUCACCACUUGCGGGUGCACAAGCAUUGUGAGCUUGGCCAGAGUUCACAGCUCAGUGGAACCCACCAGGCAACCCUACAGCAUUUCCUGUCGUUCCCUUUGCCUCCCAGCUCUGUCCCUGCUGGGGGCCUACUGCUUAGACAUUCUCCAUCUGUGAUUCCUUUGAGUGCAGCUCAGACAUUUCCACACCUUCUUCUCCACAUACACAGAGUGGAGACAGACCCUUCAGAGGCUGGAGGUGGAGACUUCCAACAGAGCCAGCGCAACUCCAUCCUUUCAAAAAUGGAGAAAUGAGGCCUGAGAAGUGAGGUGAAUUGCUGCCUGGAUGCAUUCAUGCCAUCUUCCUAUUAACGAGAGAUGUUACCAAAAACACUUAGAUCAGUCACCCUUUACACUAAAGCAGCAAAUAAAUUGAACGAUUCUCAAGAGAGUGGGAGAGGUUGAUCUAGAGGCUUUGUCUCCCACGAUGUGGUCUCCAAAAACCACCCUGCAUUACAAUAGCUGUGGUAGAAAGACGAUCAACAGUUCAUACUCACAGGGCUCUUGUAUUGGCACACGUCACCUUAUUUCACUCCCUCAGCACCCUUUGAAAUAAAUACUAUGGGGAUAACAAUUUUCCAUGUGUGGAAACCAACACUCAGGGAAGUGAAGUUACUAGCCCAAAGUCACAGAGAACUUGGCGGAGCUGGGGUUGGGGUCUUUGUCCUUCCAGAACAUGUAUUCCUAACUGUUGUCCAUUCUGCUGACCAUAAUGAAACAUUACCUGAACGUCCGCUAGGAGUUGCACCCAACCACUCAGUCACUGAGUUAGGAGGUGGGGGGGGGGGGGGGGGUGGUUGCUUUUUGCUGAAUUCUCCCAUCAGCAAGUGAUUUCAUGGCCUGAGGGUUGAGGCAAACUGGAAUGUGUGCAAACCGACCGAGGAACUACCCAAAUCUCUCCUUAUCUGUGCAGCAUCUGCUGUGCAAUAACUGUGUCCCCAGCACAAGCCAGAGAGAACUCUCGAUGGCUUGAUCAAGCAGCCCUUGUGCAACGGCCUGCUGCAUCCAGAAAUCUCUUACCCAAGAUCACUUCAGCCUUGCCGUUCUUGAAUGCUGGAAGGCAGCAUAGCCAGCGUGGGGUCCCGUGGUCUCAGCUCGCCGGUUCUAAUUCUCCCUCUGCUGUGCAUUAGUGUGGGCUGGGGUGAGUCGUUUCACCCCAGGCCUCAUUUCCUUCUCUUUAAAAUGUCAUA